rnacentral:rRNA from 1 species
AUACGGAGGGUGCAAGCGUUAUCCGGAAUCAUUGGGUUUAAAGGGUCCGCAGGCGGAUUAAUAAGUCAGUGGUGAAAUCCUCUCGCUCAACGAGAGAACUGCCAUUGAAACUGUUAGUCUUGAAUUCGGUCGAAGUAGGCGGAAUGUGUCAUGUAGCGGUGAAAUGCAUAGAUAUGACACAGAACACCGAUAGCGAAGGCAGCUUACUAGACCUGGAUUGACGCUCAUGGACGAAAGCGUGGGGAGCGAACAGGAUUAGAAACCCCUGUAGUCC